rnacentral:rRNA from 1 species
CAGUAGCCACGGGAAUACAGAGGUCCCGAGCGUUGUUCGGAUUCACUGGGCGUAAAGGGUGUGUAGGCGGCUAAUUGAGUCGGAUGUGAAAUCCCCGAGCUUAACUUGGGAAUUGCAUUCGAUACUGGUUAGCUAGAGUGUGGGAGAGGAUGGUAGAAUUCCAGGUGUAGCGGUGAAAUGCGUAGAGAUCUGGAGGAAUACCGAUGGCGAAGGCAGCCAUCUGGCCUAACACUGACGCUGAGGUACGAAAGCAUGGGGAGCAAACAGGAUUAGAUACCCCCGUAGUCCCUGUCUCUUAUAC